ACCGGAAAAUUGCAGUUGAUACUGGACGUCUUGAGUGCACACAAGGAUGCCGGAAUUCAUGGUGUAGCGGUGAAAUGCUCAGAUAUCAUGAAGAACUCCGAUCGCGAAGGCAGGUGUCCGGGGUGCAACUGACGCUGAGGCUCGAAAGUGCGGGUAUC
rnacentral:rRNA from 1 species